UACGGAGGGUGCGAGCGUUGUCCGGAAUCACUGGGCGUAAAGAGCGCGCAGGCGGUCGGACAAGUCGCGUGUGAAAGCCCCCGGCUCAACUGGGGAGGGUCACGCGAUACUGUUCGACUCGAAGGCAGGAGAGGGAAGUGGAAUUCCCGGUGUAGUGGUGAAAUGCGUAGAUAUCGGGAGGAACACCAGUGGCGAAGGCGACUUCCUGGCCUGUUCUUGACGCUGAGGCGCGAAAGCUAGGGUAGCAAACGGG
rnacentral:rRNA from 1 species